rnacentral:ribozyme from 1 species
GUAAGCGUAUUGGGAAACUAGUACGUAGACAACGGCUUGACCGUUGCAAUAUACCACUUGAAUUGCUUGGAACCCCUAAAGCCAAUCAAACUACAACGCAAGUAUGAAACAUAACUAAACGUGAAAUAAUAUUACAUCUUUAAAAAAUAUUUUGGUUGCGAAAGCAGAAAAAAUUGAUUGGAUGGUAUAUGGUUAAAUCCUAAGUACUACAAAAAGAAGAAAAGACCUUUAUCCUUUUCUCCUUAUCACGACAGAUUUAGUCACGUUGUUCCUAAAUCCGUGAAUUAUGAAUAAUGGGCAAUGAGCAGGUAAGCUCCAAACAGGAGAAACUUCAACGACUAGACCUCUUGAGGGUCGUACACCAUAAGUGAUUGAUGGUGGAAGUGGGUGGCUCUUAGCACAUAAUGGUGAAGAAGAAGAUAUAGUCUGUGCUUUAGUGAAAACUAAAG